rnacentral:rRNA from 1 species
UGAGGUGCUUGCACCUUAUCUUAGCGGCGGACGGGUGAGUAAUGCUUAGGAAUCUGCCUAUUAGUGGGGGACAACAUUCCGAAAGGAAUGCUAAUACCGCAUACGCCCUACGGGGGAAAGCAGGGGAUCUUCGGACCUUGCGCUAAUAGAUGAGCCUAAGUCGGAUUAGCUAGUUGGUGGGGUAAAGGCCUACCAAGGCGACGAUCUGUAGCGGGUCUGAGAGGAUGAUCCGCCACACUGGGACUGAGACACGGCCCAGACUCCUACGGGAGGCAGCAGUGGGGAAUAUUGGACAAUGGGCGGAAGCCUGAUCCAGCCAUGCCGCGUGUGUGAAGAAGGCCUUUUGGUUGUAAAGCACUUUAAGCGAGGAGGAGGCUACUUAGAUUAAUACUCUAGGAUAGUGGACGUUACUCGCAGAAUAAGCACCGGCUAACUCUGUGCCAGCAGCCGCGGUAAUACAGAGGGUGCGAGCGUUAAUCGGAUUUACUGGGCGUAAAGCGUGCGUAGGCGGCUGAUUAAGUUGGGUGUGAAAUCCCCGGGCUCAACCUGGGAAUUGCACUCAAAACUGCGUGGCUAGAGUGUGGGAGAGGAAGGUAGAAUUCCAGGUGUAGCGGUGAAAUGCGUAGAUAUCUGGAGGAAUACCGAUGGCGAAGGCAGCCUUCUGGCCUAACACUGACGCUGAGGUGCGAAAGCAUGGGGAGCAAACAGGAUUAGAUACCCUGGUAGUCCAUGCCGUAAACGAUGUCUACUAGCCGUUGGGGGACUUGAUCCUUUAGUGGCGCAGCUAACGCAUUAAGUAGACCGCCUGGGGAGUACGGUCGCAAGACUAAAACUCAAAUGAAUUGACGGGGGCCCGCACAAGCGGUGGAGCAUGUGGUUUAAUUCGAUGCAACGCGAAGAACCU